CUACUACUCGGAUAACCGUAG
rnacentral:ncRNA from 2 species